CGGUCGGCACGCUCCCACUAGCCAGACUAUCGAGCCCACCGCCAUAUAACGGAGCUAGUUAUCUUUUUGAUGUUAGUUUUUUUUGUUUAUAACCCUAAACUUAACCCUACACCUAACCCUAACUCUAAACCUAAUCCUAAAUUGCUUGUAUGUGGCAGUGAUAAUACGUGAAAUAUAAUCGGGUGGGAUCGAACGUCUGGGAGUGAUAAAACCUACACGUCCCGGAGUGAUCUCCGUUGGGAGUGUCCAUCUGCCACCGUUCAUUUUCAUGGAGACUGGUUGUUCGUAGUUUCACCUAGGGAUGUUAUAACUUGAGCUAACAGGUGUUCGAACUAACCGUAUGUUUGGAAAGCCCAGUUGUGACUACACACCAAACUCAUAACAUAGCAUAUUGACCAGGCAAGCCUUUGUUUCGAUUUGGUCACCUAACUAUACCUAGUGUAGAGCGACUGGCCACUGCAUUGAAACGUAGGCUUCAAUGGGUUCAAAGGGUUCUAUUACGGUAAUUACUCAGUGUGCGUGGCUGCACGAACUCAGCUGACACAUCCAACACAGACUUCAAGCAGUUGAUACAGGCUGCUAUUUAGUGGUUGUGACGGCAUUUGAUUGCGUUUUUGUUUUCAUCAUAUAACAAAUUUGGCGUAACCUCUGGUAGGUACACAGAAUACAGCAGUCGGAUCACUUGUCUAGCUUACCUUGCUCCAGUGCAGGCAGCUGUGGAGUUACGUAAGUUCCUGUUACAGACGGUCAUGAUGAGUAGAAGAAGGCAACAUGAUGAAGCAAAACUCCAUCACCACUACGUUGGAGUCUUCCCAUUCAGUCAUCAUCCAAUUUGCUCCAAAGAAUCACAUACAAGCAGACGCUUCUUACAGAUGGCUGUCCUCUAGAAUGAAAAUGCACACCAACCACCGGCAAACAUCAAAAGCUAAUCCAACCUUUGGCUUUGUGUGGAAAGGUCUUCGGAAACCCUGUGACUGAUGCAAUGUUGGUGCCCUAGAAGACAAGUCAGCACAGUUCAGACGAGCCAGCCAGAGGAGGUCACCGCCAGCCUUGUAUCGAGGUUCCAGCGUCUUCAUCGGGGAACUCGGCAUGGAUAUGCAAGACGACACUCGAAUCACUGAUGGACAAAUGCCUGAAACGGCUGGAAAAAUAGAAAAGAUGGUUACAGAGACUGUUAUUGCUGUUCUUCUUUCAGUACAAUAUUUGCCUUCCAUAAAAUAUUCACAUGUUCCAAUUUAAUAUUCUUGAUGCUGUUGUAAAUAAAAUUUGCACACUGUC